GCUCCCUUAGCUCAGUUGGUUUAGAGCAUGGUGCUUAUAAGUUGUGGACCAACUACCUCAAAGUAGGCUUCAAAGCUGAGUUACGCCAGGGUCGUGGGUUCAACCCCCACAGGGAGCA
rfam:Vavraia culicis subsp. floridensis unplaced genomic scaffold supercont1.12, whole genome shotgun sequence.